AUAACGACUCCCGGCAACGGAUAUCUCGGCUCU
rnacentral:rRNA from 1 species